rnacentral:tRNA from 1 species
GGCGGGGUAGCUCAGCUGGCUAGAGCAGCGGAAUCAUAAUCCGUUGGUCGUGGGUUCGAUUCCCACCUCCGCUA